AAACAAUCCAGGUUCAAGCUUCUAUCUAGGCCCAAGCUCCUAUCAAGGUUCAAGCUCCUAUAUAUCCCGACUCAAGCUCCCAUCCAGGCUCCUGCUCCUAUCCAGGCUCUUGAGGAAAGUGCACCAGAUUAAAAACAAUGUGGAAGUGUCCAGGUUUGGCCGCAGGAGGAGGAAGAA